rnacentral:rRNA from 1 species
CUUGGAGGAAUGUAUAGCAACUGCUAGUUGCACUAAAAACUUUAGUGUAAAAUCAACUUAGUUGAAUAAAAUUCUGGGUAGAAUUAUGAUAAUGACAUUAUCUGUCCAUAAGUCUUGACCAAAUUACGUGCCAGCAGUCGCGGUAAUACGUAGAAGACAAGUGUUAUUCAUCUUUAAUAGGUUUAAAGGGUACUUAGACGGUAAAUCAAGCCUUAAAAAGGGACUAAUUUGCUAGAGUUUUAUGUGAAAAAGUAUUAAAGUACUGCUGGUGUAGAGAUGAAAUUCUGUCAUACUUUGAAUGGCACAGGUUAAGGCGAAAGCAUCUUUUUAUGUAAAAACUGACGUUGAAGGACGAAGGCUUUGUGUCUCGAACAGGAUUAGAUACCCUAGUAGUCUAAGCAGACAAUGAUGAAUGUCAUAGAUUAGAUGUAAUUUGAUCUAUAAAUGAAAGUGUAAGCAUUCCACCUCAAGAGUAAUUUGGCAACAUUGGAACUGAAAUCAUUAGACCGUUUCUGAAACCAGUAGUGAAGUAUGUUGUUUAAUUUGAUAAUCCGCAAAAAACCUUACCACUUUAAUAUGAAUAGAUAUAUUUUAUCAUACAAGCGUUGCACGGCUGUCUUCAGUUAAUGUCGUGAGACUUUGGUUAGUUCCAUAAAAUUAACGUAAACCCUUACUUUAUUUACUAAUAAAGUAGUUCACCGCUAUAUUGGAUGUGAUAACAGGGAUCAAGACAAGUCAUCAUGACCUAAAUAUUAUGG